rnacentral:tRNA from 1 species
CCCUUCGUGGUGUAGUGGUCGGCACGCUUGACGCGUAACCGAGAGGUCCGUGGUUCGAUUCCCGACGAAGGCG